UACAGAGGGUGCGAGCGUUGUCCGGAAUCACUGGGCGUAAAGGGUGAGUAGGUGGCUUGUUAAGCGUGUGGUGAAAGCCUGGGGCUCAACCCCAGGUCUGCCGUGCGAACUGACAGGCUUGAGCAGAGUAGAGGCGAGUGGAAUUUCGGGUGUAGCGGUGGAAUGCGUAGAUAUCCGAAAGAACACCGGUGGCGAAGGCGACUCGCUGGGCUUUUGCUGACACUGAAUCACGACAGCGUGGGGAGCAAACAGG
rnacentral:rRNA from 1 species